AAGGCCGUGUCCAGGGCUGCGCCCAGGUCCCUACUCUGCCCGGGGCGGGUUUGCGGGCCAAGCUGGGUGAUGGGCUCCUGCCCCCUCCGCCCCCUACCUGCUCCCUGUGCCAGGGGAGAAACCAAGGCCCAGAGUUCACCCGGGGGCGGUGAGAUUCCAGACUGAGGAGGGGGCACUCGCCCCCGUUCGUCGUCCCACCCCCACCAGACUCCGUAGGGUGCCAGGGACGGGGAGAGAGCGAUCCCCCGCCCAAGGCCCCGCUGCCCCUUACUGUUUUGGGCGCUGUGCCUGGGAGGCUGAGGCACCCCGCGCCCUCGCCCGCGCCCAGCUGGUCUACUCUCGGGGCUGGGGCGUCGGCGCGGCCCCGGCCGCACCUGGAAAGGAAGGGGUCUUGGGAAUCUCUGGAGCAGCGUGGGGACCCUACUCCUUGUGGAAGCAGCGAUUCAGUGUGUGUUAACAGUGUGGAUGCCGGUCCCGCUCCCCCUCUGGGUGGCGGGGGUGGGGGUAGCAGGAAGGGGUCUUGAGCAACCAUGUUGUUUGUUAACUUAAACGUUUGUGCGGCGCUGUGUACCGGUCGCUGUGGACGCGAUCUCUGGUGCUGAGGGGAUUUGAGGGUUCCUCACACUGGCGGGAUUUGGAGCCUCUACCCUGGUGGCAGUGGGUUUAGUGGGUUACCCUGGUGGCUAGUGGUUAAGUGCUAAGGCUGCUAGCCAAAAGGUUGGCAGUUUGAAUCCACCAGGCGCUCCUUGGAAACUCUGUGGGGCAGUUCUACUCUGUCCUAUAGGGUCGCUAUGAGUCAGAAUUGACUCGAUGGCCACAGGUGUGGUUUUUUUUUUUUUUUUAGGUUGGAGAUUAGGUGUCUCUCGGGCUGACAUUUGAAGGUCUGGAGCUGGCCGUUUAUGAGGGUUUAUAAGGGUUUUAAGUGCUCCGGCCAUGGGCACCAACCCGAUCUUCCAGCCCCUGCGGACGGACCGCCUCCCCCGCCCCGGGGGGAUUGGCUGCUCUGGGACCCCGAGCCCAGAGGGCGGUGAGAAGCUGACAAACCUUAAAUACAGACCAGAAGAGGAGUUUGGGGCUUGACACCUGACGUCUUAACACCAGUUCCUGUUUCUUGAGGAAGGAAGAGGUAAAAUAAAUCAGCGUUUACUGUGUCCUUCUCCAUCCCCGGAAGUCUUCAUGAAGACCCUCUCAGCUUCUACUUGAACGUGAAUAUGAGCAACUGAUCAUCUGUUCUGCGGUCAGCCCCUGGCCUGAUUCUGACUCAUGAUAUUGACCUUCUCCAUCAUCACCUUCCACAAAUUUGAUUCCUAUCUAUUCUGCCUGGAAUAGUUCAUGAGUAUAGUCACCAUUUAUGUUCCUGACGAAAGACAUUAUGCUCAUUCUCAGGGCCCUGAGACCUCAUCUGCAGCAGGUGAAGGCAUUCGUGGAGAGAGGCGGUUUCCGUGCGUGCAGGCAAAGUGUGUGCUGAGAUGAGUCGCUGGAGACUGGGGUGGACUCCUCAGACCCAGGAUAGGCCUCUGGCAGGCAUUCUAUCAGGCAUUCCAAGCUGUGAAGUGCCUGGGAGGAGAAGGAAGAGAUUUCAGAGAAUGAACACAUACAGAGAGACAGGCAAGAGACGGUGAGUGGGGAUGUCUUGCCUACUGAUAUCCUCAGGAAAGUGGGAAAAUUGGACCCUGGCCUGCUAUGACAAUGCCCUGAAGCAGUCCGCACCAGGGGCUCCCUUGUGCCUGCAUAGCCUUUCCCAGGGUGUGCUCAAAUCCUGUGGCCACUAGGUGUCCUGGGUCACAAUGGAGGGCCCUGUGUCAUCUGCCUGUUGGGCUGGAUCUCUGCCAUUGGCUGAGUCUUGUCACCAGGCCCAUCAUAAGCUCUGCCCACUCUUCCUGUGGGGGGACUGUCUCCAUGGUGAUGGCAAAGAAGCCUGAGUUCCGCCCACCUGGCCUUGACUUCACCUACCUGGCCUGCUGACCCUCACUCAGACCUCUGUGUUGAUCAAAAUGAGUGUCCGCCAGUGGCCAGGUGUCAGCAUCUGGGAUAAAGGAUUGGGGACCUUGCCUGGGGCAGAAGGCAGCCUAGGUCUGUGGGUACCUGGAAGUCUUGUGACUUCUGCCGCUGCUGCCAGUGACAGAUGGUGACUCCCACACUCACAUAUCCCCUGGUGGCAGAAGGAUAGUGAUGGGCGGAGAAACAUGGCUCCGGAGCACACUUUAAAUGCGGCACCAGCCAAAGGCCAGGGCAAGGAGUGGACGUCGUGGAGCUUAAUUGCAAGCCAGUGAAGGGCCCAAGGAUUUCUCCUAUAUGUGGCAAACAGGUCAUCCGUGUCCCCACGUCCAUAAACCACUGGACUGCAGUGCCAGACUGCCAGGAUUUCGGCCUUGCCAUUGGAGCCCGUCCACAUACGCUGCGUUGCACCGGAGGCGGGGACAUGUAGACAGCAAAAAUUUGGAAAAUGGCAUCAUCUCUUCAAUUUCCCUAGCAUUGGCCUUUUUCAGUGGCAUGCUUUGUUUCCUAGUAGGAUAAGGCACUGACGGAGAAAGGCAGGAGUAUGUGUGUAGGAAAGGUGUGUGCCGAAAGGGUGACGACGUUGAGACCACGUUGGGAUCUUUAGUCCCAGGAAAGGCCCCUGGCAGGUGUGGGUCAAUGUUCUCUGCUCAUCCGAGUUGGCGGGGGAGGUUUUCACCAAACAAAGCAGCACUGGAAUUAUUCGUAGCCUGAGAGGUUGCAUCUGCCCACAAGCUCCACCUGGCCAGGGUCCGCCCCUACUGUAUUGCCCAUGUCAAUCAACAGAAGCUAAGACCUUCCAGAGAGACUACCUGCUAUUGUCUACCCACCGGGAAGCGGUCCAGCCAGAAGCCUCCCCCGUUUCAUCUCCAGGCUCUCUGUCAGGCCCCUCAUACUUGUGAUGUGUCUCAGGGGUAGAAGGAAGAGAUUUCUCUGAAUGAACACAUCCAGAGAGGAGCCAUAGAUGCUGAGGAAGGGCGCCUUGUCUACUGAUAUCCUAGCGUAAGUGUAAAAGAGGUACCUGCCUGCUGUCCCAGUGUGUCGAACGUGUCCACAUCAGGGGUUGGCUACUGUAAAAUUAUUCCCUGGUGCCCUCGAUUUUGUGGCCAAAGACACGAGGGGCCGUUGUGUGUCCAUGGGUACAAUGGAGGGCUCUGCGGAACGGGCUGGUUAGGCUGGACUUCUCCUAUUGGCUCAGUGUUUGUGACUCGUCCCCGUCAGAAGUUCCGCCCAGCCUUCUGGUGGCUGUCUCCAUGAGGAUUGGGAAAGAAGCCCUAGGCCCCGCACUCGGCCUUCACCUGGCCUACCUGGCCUCUUUACCCUCAUCUAGACCGCUCUGUGCAUGAAAGAAAGGAUGUCGGCCACUGACCAAGCAUCCUCAUUUCCUUGGAAGUAUUAGGCUCCUUGCGUGGGCAGAAGACAGCCAAGGUCAGCCUGAGCCUAGACACCUAGUGACCUGUGACACUGCAGCCAGCGAUAGAUGUUGAUGUCCACGCUCAGGUAUCCGCAGUUGACGGAUUCAGAGUGGUCAGAGGAGAAGUGUAACUAGAGAUCACACACUCAUGAGGGCACGGGCCAAAGGUCAGGGAAAAUAGCUGAGGUCGUGGAGCUCUAGCGGAGCCAGUCAAGGGCCCAGGCCUCCCUCCUGUACGUGGCAAAGAGGUGUCACCUUCCGCAGAGUAUGCUGCCACCCGCAGACUCUGGACUGCUGGGGCCCUGGAUGCCCGGAUUUCGGCCUUGUGUUUGGAGAAGUGACGUGCAUGCAGUGUGCCACCGGGGGCUGUGGCCCAGCAGAAGCAAAAUCUUGAAAAUGGGAGCUUCAGUUGACUUUGCGUGUUCUCUCCCUUGGCUGAGUGCCAUCCUGUGUUUCCUAGCAGGAGAAGGCAUUCGUGGAGAAAGGCAGAUUCCAUGUGUGCAGGCAAAGUGUGUGCUGACAUGAUGAGACCCUGGAGACCAGGGUGGACUCUUCAGACCCAGGACAGGCCUCUGGCAGGUAUGUGUCAAUGUUUUCUGCCCGUGGCACUCAACCGGGUAUUUGCAUACAGUGUCAUCAGCAGAAUUAGUAGUCUCCGGAGAGGCUACCACAUGUCAGCAAGCUUCACCUGGCCAGAGUCCACCCGUGAUGUAGCUCCCCAAUCAGUCACUACUGUCUAGACCUUCCAGAUAGACUAGCAGAUCUUCUCUGCCCAUGGGCAACCAGUAGAGCCAGAGGCCUUCCCCCUUUGCUCUUUCGUCUCUAGGCACUCUAUCAGGCACUCCAAGCUGUGAAGUGACUCAGGGAGAGAAGGAAGAGAUUUCAGAGAAUGAACACAUACAGAGAGAGAGGCAAGAGAUGCUGAGUGGGGAUGUCUUGCGUACUGAUAUCCUCAGGAAAGUGGGAAAAUUGGACCCUGGCCUGCUCUGCCAAUGCCGUGAAGCAGUCCACUCCAGGGGCUCCCUUGUGCCUGCAUAGCCUUUCCCAGGGUGUGCUCAAAUCCUGUGGCCACUAGGUGUCCUAGGUCACAAUGGAGGACCCUGUGUCAUCUGCCUGGCGGACUGGAUCUCUGCCAUUGGCUGAGUCUUGUCACCAGGCCCAUCAUAAGCUCUGCCCACUCUUCCGGUGGGGAGACUCUCUCCAUGGUGAUGGCAAAGAAACCUUAGUCCUGCCCACCUGGCCUUCACUUCACGUACCUGGCCUGCUGACCCUCACUCAGACCUCUGUGUUGAUCAAAAUGAAUGUCCGCCAGUGGCCCGGUGUCAGCGUCUGGUAUAAAGGAUUCGGGACUGUGCCUGAGGCAGAAGGCAGCCUAGGUCUGCGGGUACCUGGAAGUCUAGUGACUUGUGACGCUGCUGCCAGUGACAAAUGGUGACUCCCACACUCACAUAUCCCCUGGUGGCAGAAGGAUA